rnacentral:rRNA from 1 species
AGCGAACGCUGGCGGCAGGCCUAACACAUGCAAGUCGAGCGCCGUAGCAAUACGGAGCGGCAGACGGGGGAGUAACACGUGGGAACGUGCCCUUUGGUUCGGAACAACCCAGGGAAACUUGGGUUAAUACCGGAUAAGCCCUUACGGGGAAAGAUUUAUCGCCGAAGGAUCGGCCCGCGUCUGAUUAGCUUGUUGGUGGGGUAACGGCCCACCAAGGCGACGAUCAGUAGCUGGUCUGAGAGGAUGAUCAGCCUCACUGGGACUGAGACACGGCCCAGACUCCUACGGGAGGCAGCAGUGGGGAAUAUUGGACAAUGGGCGCAAGCCUGAUCCAGCCAUGCCGCGUGGGUGAUGAAGGCCCUAGGGUUGUAAAGCCCUUCGGCGGGGAAGAUAAUGACGGUACCCGCAGAAGAAGCCCCGGCUAACUUCGUGCCAGCAGCCGCAGUAAGAC